CCAUCUGCUCAUCGUUGCUGCAGCUCGUGACUUGCCUUGGCCACUGCCGUGCUCCAUUGUCUCUGUGCUCAGCCCUUCCCUUCUGCUCCAGGACACGGAGGCACGGCCGGUCCCCUGACUGCAGGGUGUCUCUAUCCACGGGGACAUAUCCCGAGGACCAGCACAGCAGUGGGCUGGUUUUGUUACUACAGGUGGACAACGCUUUUCCAGGCAGCCUGAUGCCUCCGGGGAACGCUGUGUUUUUAAUGCCACUCGGCUUUCACGAAUUGCUCCAGCAAGACGCUCUACCAAAAAAGGCAAGAAAACUUCUUUCAUGUCAGUCAAGAGUUUUUAUUUUUUGGUGAUGACAAACUCAGAAAAGAGGAGUAUUGGAGACGCGGGCAAUCUGCAGUUUGGUUAAACAGCAACGAAACAAAACCUACAAGUGACAACUUGCUCGGUAGAGAGUUUGCUGGCACUGGCUGGGCAGCAAGAGAGACCCCAAAUUCAGCCCCAUGGGAAAAUGACUGCUGGAAAUGACUGAAUCCUGGAUAUAACCUGAAUUUUGUGCCAGUGCAGGCUGCGUGCACAGUGCACCGUUGGGCUCACACAGUUGGGAAGAGUCAUUUUAACUCCUGCGAGUGCUGACACUGCUCUUUUGGGUCCUGGUCCAGUCAGGCUGGAGCCUAGGGUUAACCAGCUCCCUGCUGGGGCUCUCAUUAGGAGCAGCAGAGGCACUGCUGUUCCUGUAUGCCUCUCUAUACAUCUGUUUCUGUGUUGCAGAGGAGCCUUGCCAAGAACACCCCAAUUUACUUAGCUCUCACGUCUGAUUUUAUUUGAAGUCUCUCAGACCCUCACCCUUGGGGCUGGCCAGAUCACUGGAGCAGGAGUCACAAGAUUUAUUAAAAGCAAAAAAAAAAAAAAAAAAAAAAAAAAAAAAAAAAAAGCUGAUUAGACAAAACUGCUGAAAAUCUCCAGGAAUUAAUUUGCAGACAAGAUGCGAUUGCUUCCCAGAAUGGCAUCUUUCCAGCUGCAGUGUCCCUAUCACUCCAGUCAGUGAUGGGACAGAUUAGGCACUGGAUUUCUGCCAGCUGAUACACUGGAGCUUUUUGAUUUAUGAGAAAUGUUGCAAUUUGGUAGGGCUUGGCCAUUCCUCUGAACUUUGCAUGAGCGUAUUGCCAGAUUUUGGCAAGUUUGCACCUUGGUAAAGAGUUGCGUGCUGUUCAAAAUCCACACGACCGCAGCAAUGACACCUUUAUUUAUAAAUGUCACCCACACGUAGUUGGUGAACGGAGAAGGCAAUUGUAUUUCAGCCUGAGAAGAGAGAGCUGGGCUACACCUGGGGGGUGGGAGAGAGGCAG